GGGCCCGCACAAGCGGUGGAGUAUGUGGUUUAAUUCGAUGCAACGCGAAGAACCUUACCAGGGUUUGACAUCCUGCGAAUCUCUUGGAAACGAGAGAGUGCCUUCGGGAACGCAGUGACAGGUGGUGCAUGGCUGUCGUCAGCUCGUGUCGUGAGAUGUUGGGUUAAGUCCCGCAACGAGCGCAACCCACGUCUUUAGUUGCCAGCAUUUAGUUGGGCACUCUAGAGAGACCGCCGGUGAUAAACCGGAGGAAGGUGUGGAUGACGUCAAGUCAUCAUGCCCCUUACAUCCUGGGCUACACACGUACUACAAUGCUACGGACAAAGGGCAGCCACUGGGUGACCAGGAGCGAA
rnacentral:rRNA from 1 species